UACUCCUACGGGAGGCAGCAGUGGGGAAUAUUGCGCAAUGGGGGCAACCCUGACGCAGCCAUGCCGCGUGAAUGAAGAAGGCCUUCGGGUUGUAAAGUUCUUUCGGUAGCGAGGAAGGCAUUUAGUUUAAUAGACUAGGUGAUUGACGUUAACUACAGAAGAAGCACCGGCUAACUCCGUGCCAGCAGCCGCGGUAAUACGGAGGGUGCGAGCGUUAAUCGGAAUAACUGGGCGUAAAGGGCACGCAGGCGGUGACUUAAGUGAGGUGUGAAAGCCCCGGGCUUAACCUGGGAAUUGCAUUUCAUACUGGGUCGCUAGAGUACUUUAGGGAGGGGUAGAAUUCCACGUGUAGCGGUGAAAUGCGUAGAGAUGUGGAGGAAUACCGAAGGCGAAGGCAGCCCCUUGGGAAUGUACUGACGCUCAUGUGCGAAAGCGUGGGGAGCAAACAGGAUUAGAUACCCUGGUAGUCCACGCUGUAAACGAUGUCGAUUUGGGGGUUGAGCUUUAAGUUUGGCGCCCGUAGCUAACGUGAUAAAUCGACCGCCUGGGGAGUACGGCCGCAAGGUUAAAACUCAAAUGAAUUGACGGA
rnacentral:rRNA from 1 species